GGAGAGUUGUUCGAGUGGUUUAAGAAGCACGCCUGGAAAGUGUGUAUAGUCCAAAAGGCUAUCGGGAGUUCGAAUCUCCCACUCUCCG
rnacentral:tRNA from 1 species